CAUUCCAGGACCAGUCACUUUUCAUUUGUUAUAGCAGCAUCCAAGAGAAGAAACUAACUGGAAAAUUUGAGAAUACUUCUGAAAAAGAUGAAAGUUCUCCUUCUGCUCACAGCCAUGUUGGCAGUAACCACUGGUUUUCCAGUCUCUCCAGAACAGGAAAGAGAAAAACGAAGCAUCAGUGGAAGUGAUGAACUACCUUCACAGCUUUUUGUGCCCCCUAACAUAUAUCCAUUUUUCCCAUAUCCACCAUUCCUAAAUCCAUGGUCUAGGUAUUUUUAUCCUCCCAUUCCAAUAGCUCUGUCUGGACCUACAGCUAUCCCUCCUAAAGAAGAAUUAUUAGAAAAGAAAAGUCCCAGUGCAAUUUAAGACGAAAUAGGUGGUCAAAUUGAAUGUGAGCCACUUCCUUGAAGAAUCAAUUGCCUUGUUAAUAAAAGAAAAAUAAACGUGAUUGAAGCAGCA